AGCGAACGCUGGCGGCAGGCCUAACACAUGCAAGUCGAACGAACCUUUCGGGGUUAGUGGCGGACGGGUGAGUAACACGUGGGAACGUGCCUUUAGGUUCGGAAUAACUCAGGGAAACUUGUGCUAAUACCGAAUGUGCCCUUCGGGGGAAAGAUUUAUCGCCUUUAGAGCGGCCCGCGUCUGAUUAGCUAGUUGGUUGAGGUAAUGGCUCACCAAGGCGACGAUCAGUAGCUGGUCUGAGAGGAUGAUCAGCCACAUUGGGACUGAGACACGGCCCAAACUCCUACGGGAGGCAGCAGUGGGGAAUCUUGCGCAAUGGGCGAAAGCCUGACGCAGCCAGGCCGCGUGAAUGAUGAAGGUCUUAGGAUUGUAAAAUUCUUUCACCGGGGACGAUAAGGACGGUACCCGGAGAAGAAGCCCCGGCUAACUUCGG
rnacentral:rRNA from 1 species